rnacentral:rRNA from 1 species
GACGAGGGAUCCUAGCGUUGUUCGGAAUUAUUGGGCGUAAAGCGGGUGUAGGUGGCUGUGUAAGUCGGGUGUGAAAGCCUGGGGCUCAACCCCAGAAGUGCAUUCGAUACUGCGUAGCUUGAGUGGUAGAGAGGAUAGUAGAAUUGUUGGUGUAGUGGUGAAAUACGUAGAUAUCUACAGGAAUACCGGUGGCGAAGGCGGCUAUCUGGCUACACACUGACACUCAGACCCGAAAGCGUGGGGAUCAAACAGG